rnacentral:tRNA from 1 species
UUAUUAUUGAAUAUAGGAUAGAUAAUAGGAUCGUUGUAUAAACUGUCAAUAGUAUAACUUGAGUAUG